rnacentral:rRNA from 1 species
UUACCCAAUCCUGACACAGGGAGGUAGUGACAAUAAAUAACAAUACUGGACUUUUUCAAGUCUAGUAAUUGGAAUGAGAACAAUCUAAAUACCUUAUCGAGUAUCAAUUGGAGGGCAAGUCUGGUGCCAGCAGCCGCGGUAAUUCCAGCUCCAAUAGCGUAUAUUAAAGUUGUUGCAGUUAAAAAGCUCGUAGUUGGAUCUCAGGGUGAGCUCAGUUGGUCGGCCUAAUUGGUCAGAACUGGCUGACUCUCCCUUGUUUCUGAAUCCCGGUCGGAGUUAAUUCUUCGUUCGUGGACUUCAGAUCGUUUACCUUGAAAAAAUUAGAGUGUUCAAAGCGGGCGUUUGCUUGAAUACAUUAGCAUGGAAUAAUGGAAUAGGACUUUGGUUCUAUUUUGUUGGUUUUGAGGACCAGAGUAAUGAUUAAUAGGGAUAGUUAGGGGCAUUCAUAUUUAAUUGUCAGAGGUGAAAUUCUUGGAUUUAUGAAAGAUGAACUUCUGCGAAAGCAUUUGCCAAGGAUGUUUUCAUUAAUCAAGAACGAAAGUUAGGGGAUCGAAGACGAUCAGAUACCGUCGUAGUCUUAACCAUAAACUAUGCCGACUAGGGAUUGGGAGCGGUUUGUUCAUUGACCC